rnacentral:rRNA from 1 species
UACGUAGGGGCAAGCGUUGUCCGGAAUCAUUGGGCGUAAAGAGCGUGUAGGCGGCCAGAUAAGUCCGCUGUGAAAUCUCGAGGCUCAACUUCGAGCUGUCGGUGGAAACUGUCUGGCUAGAGUCCGGAAGAGGAGAAUGGAAUUCCUGGUGUAGCGGUGAAAUGCGCAGAUAUCAGGAAGAACACCCGUGGCGAAGGCGGUUCUCUGGGACGGUACUGACGCUGAGACGCGAAAGCGUGGGGAGCGAACAGG